AGGGCACCACCAGGGGUGGAGCCUGCGGCUUAAUUUGACUCAACACGGGGAAACUCACCAGGUCCAGACACAAUGAGGAUUGACAGAUUGAGAGCUCUUUCUUGAUUUUGUGGGUGGUGGUGCAUGGCCGUUCUUAGUUGGUGGAGUGAUUUGUCUGCUUAAUUGCGAUAACGAACGAGACCUUAACCUACUAAAUAGCCCGUAUUGCUUUGGCAGUACGCUGGCUUCUUAGAGGGACUAUCCGCUCAAGCGGAUGGAAGUUUUAGGCA
rnacentral:rRNA from 1 species